UACGAAGGGGGCUAGCGUUGCUCGGAAUCACUGGGCGUAAAGCGCACGUAGGCGGCUUGUUAAGUCAGGGGUGAAAUCCUGGAGCUCAACUCCAGAACUGCCUUUGAUACUGGCGAUCUUGAGUCCGGGAGAGGUGAGUGGAACUGCGAGUGUAGAGGUGAAAUUCGUAGAUAUUCGCAAGAACACCAGUGGCGAAGGCGGCUCACUGGCCCGGUACUGACGCUGAGGUGCGAAAGCGUGGAGAGCAAACAGG
rnacentral:rRNA from 1 species